rnacentral:lncRNA from 1 species
CUCUCCGUCCUCUCUGAGAGGUCCUCUCCAGCGUCAGAAGCUCCCGAGGCCCCCGAAGCCAUGUGGAGGUUUAUGUUCAGAAACAAAAGGAGGCCAGUCUUGGGCAAAGGAGACACAACCUCCUCAGCUGAGACGCAGCCAGCCUCCUCAUCGUCCGCAGAGGUAGGAUGAGUCGCACUGUCCUUUCCCUCUGCUAACGUGGUAGGAGCUAGGAAGAAUGACCACCGUGCAGGCUUUCUCAGUUUCUUUGCUUUGUUUACUCUGCCUGGAGUCUAAUGAAGCAAACUGUGAUGUGCUUUUUGGAAGAGUAAGAUAGAAAAUUGAAAACUUCUGACAUUCUGGGGGACAUACACAGGCAUGGUAGGUUGUGCAAUAAAGUCUUUGAACAGUAGGGGUCGCCCUGUGUGCCAAACGGGAACAGCACCCAGCUAACAGUCCUUAUGGGUGGAUUCUUUUAGUCAGAAUAUUUGGGUCAUCAUAAUUAUUAUCUAUGUCAUGUGCAAUAUUCCUCUAGGACGUCUAUAUGCCGUCAGUUUCCUGCCAGCUCCUGAACUUUAUGUUGGGGUGAACCAGGGUCCUAGUAGUAACAUUUUGGGGGCUAGGUCUAAUCUUCAGUUGGAGAUGGGUCUCUCAUUUUCAAAUAGCCGUUUGAUUUUAAUAAUAUUGCAAAUAAGAAGGUUUCUAAGGUGUCUUUUAUGUUAGUUCUCAAUGUCUGAUACAAAUAAUCCUUACCACGUGGGAGGAGGAUACUGGAACCUAGCCAGGCAGGGUUUUUUUUCAACUGGAUGAUGUUAAUUUGUAUUAAUGUAGUAGGUGCUGAACAAAAACUCUCCUAAUUUUUGUGAUUUUUUUUGUUUGCUUUCUUAAAGCAGAAAAAGUUGUUUUUUAUGUUGAUAAUGAUAUGUAGUGAUAUUACAACAACAAUAAUGAUCAAGGAAAGGAAAAGAGUAGAAAGGUUUAUAAAGCAAAAGAGAAGUUACUGCAGUGUGUGCUAAAGGGUCAAGGCCUGGGUAGUCCAUAUGCUAGGCAGCAGGCAUUUCCCUCUGUGAACAGAAGGUGGUGAGAGGAUGGGACAGAGGAAGGCCCCUGACACCCAGUUACUGCACACUGAACAACACAAGGCACAGGCUUGCUUGUCUUCUACCCUCCUCUCACUAGCCAAAUCUGUAGGGCUUUUCACUAGCCUUCAUAUGCUUUAUCUGACAGCCCAACACCGAGAAUGGGUCUGAUAAGAGAGUCUCGUUCUCAGCAUCCUCCUCUCAUCAUGACAUCCUCCUCUCACCAUGACAUCAUCCUCCCACCAUGACAUCAUCCUCUCACUAUGACAUCAUCCUCCCACCAUGACAUCAUCCUCUUACCAUGACAUCAUCCUCCCACCAUGACAUCAUCCUCUCACCAUGGCAUCAUCCUCUUAUCAUGACAUCAUCUUCUCACCAUGAUAUCAUCCACUCUAUGGUGUCAUUCUCUCAUCAUGACAUCCUUCUCCCACCAUGAUAUCAUCUUCUCACCAUGACAUCAUCCCCUGACCAUGAAAUCAUCCUCUCACCAAGGUGGACUUCUAUGUUAAGCAUAGGAAUUGUGUUGGUAGAACUGUCUGUUCUGUGAUAAUGGGUGUUGGUGUGUCAUAUCUCAAAGUGCCUCCGGUUAGUUUUAUCUAAGGGUAAGAUAGCUGUCAGAAUGCUGUUUUGAAGGGCAUCCUAGUUUCAGUGAACCUGGGAGACUGUGGAUUGCAGAGGGGGUUGGAGGACUUCUGCAUCAAACCUGGGAAUCUCUCAGUCUCCUUUUUACUCUCCUUAGGAAGAGGCAGUCAAAGCUGCAGUUGGUAAGGCUUGGGCCUGUCUGUUCAUAGAUGGAAGGAGCUGUGUUCCUUGGGGAAUCUGUUUUGUUAUUGUGUAUGUUCUCACAAUCCAUUCUUUGACUCAUCAUAGCUGUGAGAAGAGAUUUCACUGUUGAUGGCUCCUUUGCUCUUGGCUACCGAAAUGAAUGUCGGGCUCCAGUUACAGUAACACAAGCCACACCUCUAAUCCCAGAGCACUGAGAGGAGAGGACGAUUCCUGUAUAUUUGAUGCCGUCCUGAUCUACACAGCAAAUAUCAGGCCCUCCAAGUCUAUGUAGUAGGUUCCUAUCUGGGGCGGGGGAAGGUAUGCCGAGAGAAUAAAAUUAGGUGUGUUUGUUAGGCGCAAAGAGUGGAUUUAGGGGCCAUGGCAUGGAAGGUUACUGCUGGUGAGUCCUUUCUGGAGAAAUCAAUGACUUCUUCUGAGGGGUCACCCACAGGACAGUGGCUAGAAUUGGAGACUGUCCAGGAACUCACUGUUUCCAUCGGGCUGCUGUCUCCAGAUCACACCCCAGGCAAGCAUCCUCUGUUCCCAUUAGUGCCCAAACAGGCCUGGCUGUGCUUUCAGUGACUUGAGUGUAACCACUAGGAGUGGUGAAAACACACCCCGGCCCCAGAGUGGAGUUCUGUGGCAGAGUCGGGCACUGCAUGGCUCUCGGACUGAGUGGGGACCUGACUGGAGGUCAGUCCUUACUCAGAACAGGCUGGACAGUGUGGGGAUUAACAAGGCAGGGAGACUUUAAAGGGCUGAUUCUGGCCUUCCCUCUGCUGGUCCUUCUAUGUUCUUUCCCUCUUCCUAACUCUUGCUCUAUAAUAAGACUUCAAAGGCUUAUUUUAAAGGACUGUACUACUACAGUGCCCUGGGCUGAAUUCGUAGUAAAGAUUUAGCUGUUGUGGCAUAUGUGUGUGCCCAGAACUUGGAGGAAUUGGAACUCUUCUCCAGUACUGUCAUGGAGAGGGCUAAUGUAAUGAUAGUUGUAACAUUAAAUUGCUUGUGUGUUUUCUAAGACCUACAAACGACUGCUUGCUUAGUUAAAUUUCCUUACCAUUGUGAUUUUACUAUUUAUUUCUUUGGUUAUAAU